rnacentral:rRNA from 1 species
AGAACGAACGCUGGCGGCAUGCCUAACACAUGCAAGUCGAACGCGUGACUUCGGUCACGAGUGGCGCACGGGUGAGUAACGCGUGGGAACCUGCCCCGAGGUGGGGGAUAACCGAUGGAAACGUCGGCUAAUACCGCAUACGACCUAAGGGUGAAAGAUUUAUCGCUCUGAGAGGGGCCCGCGUCGGAUUAGCUAGUUGGUGGGGUAACGGCCUACCAAGGCGAUGAUCCGUAGCUGGUCUGAGAGGAUGAUCAGCCACACUGGGACUGAGACACGGCCCAGACUCCUACGGGAGGCAGCAGUGGGGAAUAUUGGACAAUGGGCGCAAGCCUGAUCCAGCAAUGCCGCGUGAGUGAUGACGGCCUUAGGGUUGUAAAGCUCUUUCGGCGGGGACGAUGAUGACGGUACCCGCAGAAGAAGCCCCGGCUAACUUCGUGCCAGCAGCCGC